rnacentral:rRNA from 1 species
CAUGGCUCAGGAUGAAUGCUGGCGGCAUGCCUAAUACAUGCAAGUCGAGCGGUAGCAUGGCUUCACCGUUCUCUUGACACACUUGGCUUUAUGCGAGUGGUAAGAUUCGAGGGAACUGUGAAGCUGAUGACGAGCGGCGGACGGCUGAGUAACGCGUGAGAACAUACCCCAAAGUGAGGGAUAACUAGUCGAAAGAUUAGCUAAUACCGCAUGUGAUCUUUGGAUUAAAGCAUUUAUGCGCUUUGGGAAUGGCUUGCGUACGAUUAGAUAGUUGGUGAGGUAAAGGCUCACCAAGUCGACGAUCGUUAGAUGGUUUGAGAGGAUGAUCAUCCAGACUGGGACUGAGACACGGCCCAGACUCCUACGG